AUUGAACGCUGGCGGCAGGCCUAACACAUGCAAGUCGAGCGGUAGCACAGGGAGCUUGCUCCUGGGUGACGAGCGGCGGACGGGUGAGUAAUGUCUGGGAAACUGCCUGAUGGAGGGGGAUAACUACUGGAAACGGUAGCUAAUACCGCAUAACGUCGCAAGACCAAAGAGGGGGACCUUCGGGCCUCUUGCCAUCAGAUGUGCCCAGAUGGGAUUAGCUAGUAGGUGGGGUAACGGCUCACCUAGGCGCCGAUACCUAGCUGGUCUGAGAGGAUGAGCGGCCACACUGGAACUGAGACACGGUCCAGACUCCUACGGGAGGCAGCAGUGGGGAAUAUUGCACAAUGGGCGAAAGACUGAUGCAGCCAUGCCGCGUGUAUGAAGAAGGCCUUCGGGUUGUAAAGUACUUUCAGCGGGGAGGAAGGUGUUGAGGUUAAUAACCUCAGCAAUUGACGUUACCCGCAGAAGAAGCACCGGCUAACUCCGUGCCAGCAGCCGCAGUAACAC
rnacentral:rRNA from 1 species